ACUGCGGAGCCCGGUGCACGGAGUGGGAGUAGGGCUGCGGCGGGCGCAGCCAAGCGGCUCCGCUGCGCCGGUUAAAACAUUCUCCCAGGGGGCAUCUCUCUGUCCUUGGCCAGAUGGUCUCGACACGUGCGGGCACCUCUAACCCAGGCUCUCGCUCUGUUGACCAGGCUGGAGUGCAGUGGCGCUACCACAGCUCACUGCAGCCUUGACCUCCCAGGCUCAAGCAAUCCUCCACCUCAGCCUUGCAAGCAGAUGGGACUAUAGGACAGUGGCAUACUAUCACAUCUAUCAAAGAAAAUGUGAAAAGUGCCUGAAAUGUGCUACUGAUCAACCAAUAGCAGUGAAAACUCACAUAUGGUACACAUUCCAUUUGGAUCACAAAAGCAAAGCCAAACAUCUCGGUAAGUGGGAGGAAGUAACUGAUGAACUGACUAAAGGAAAAACAGAGACUCUGGGCUUGGUCAUGUGACUUACUUCAGUCAAUGGGACAUUAGCAAGAAUAAUAAAGCAGGAGUUUGAUAAGAAUUUGUACAUUUUGGCUUAUCAUCUUAAAAUAUUCUUGGAAGCCAGAUGCAAUAAGAAGUCCAGCCACCCUAAGACCACUAUAUGUGAGGAAACCCAAGCUAGUCAUGUGGAAAAAACAUGUAAACAGAGGGAUGCCUGGCUAGUCUCCAGCUUAGUCAUGGGAGUGAAGAAGCCACUUUGGAUGUUCCAGCCUUGGAAGAUACUUCCUGGAACCGAAGAAACACCUUGCUGAGCCCAGCACAGACUGCAGAAUCAUGAGAAAUAAUAGUUGGUUUAAGCCACUACAUUUUGGAGUGGUUUGUUAUAUAACUAAAACAAGCAAUGAUAGAAAAGUCUAGCAAACCAAUUAGUUAUUUGUAAGAAGUAAAAAUGUUAUAGAAACCUAA
rnacentral:lncRNA from 1 species